GACGAACGCUGGCGGCGUGCUUAACACAUGCAAGUCGAGCGGUAAGGCCCUUUCGGGGGUACACGAGCGGCGAACGGGUGAGUAACACGUGGGUGACCUGCCCUUAGCUCUGGGAUAAGCCUGGGAAACUGGGUCUAAUACCGGAUAUGACUCCAUGACGCAUGUUGUGGGGUGGAAAGCCUUGUGCGGCUAGGGAUGGGCCCGCGGCCUAUCAGCUUGUUGGUGGGGUGANGGCCUACCAAGGCGACGACGGGUAGCCGGCCUGAGAGGGCGACCGGCCACACUGGGACUGAGACACGGCCCAGACUCCUACGGGAGGCAGCAGGUGGGGAGUCUUGCGCAAUGGGCGAAAGCCUGACGCAGCGACGCCGCGUGAGGGAUGACGGCCU
rnacentral:rRNA from 1 species